rnacentral:rRNA from 1 species
UACGUAGGCAGCAAGCGUUGUUCGGAGUUACUGGGCGUAAAGGGUGCGUAGGCGGCCCUGUAAGUAUGGUGUGAAAUCUCCCGGCUUAACUGGGAGGUGCGCUAUAGACUGCGGGGCUCGAGUGUGGGAGAGGAAAGUGGAAUUCCUGGUGUAGCGGUGAAAUGCGUAGAUAUCAGGAGGAACACCGGUGGUGUAAACGGCUUUCUGGACCAUAACUGACGCUGAGGCACGAAAGCGUGGGUAG